CAUUCAAGGCACCAUGCUAGUGGCUGAGAUGUACCAUUGGACAGGACACUCUGCAUGCUCACAUUGCCCACAGCUUCCUUCAAAGCAAGCUGCCAGCUCCUUAUGCAAAGGCCAUCUGAGGUACAAACAAAUAUGUUGGAUCUAUGCAGGGUGCCAUUAACCGUGGGUAGAGAGCGAGAUGGAAUUAACCAGUGAGACACUGGGAACAGGAUUUGAGGCAUAUACAGUUUCCUUUGGCAAAGAAAGGCAUACCACCAAGAAGGAGGAAAAAAAAAAGUGUGAGAACGUGGAGGCUUGCCAUUUCCAGAGUCAGAAUGACUGUAAGUAUCAUGGAUGAAGCUUGGGGCAGGAAGAUAGUGAGAGACAGACUGGGUCAUAUGGUGACAUGAAUUUGGGCCUAUUUGGCUGCCAUGAGAACUCAUGGCAACGUAUCUAUGUUUGUGAAAGUCAAUGGCAAGAAAAGGAUUAUAGUUUGCCCUUAUGGGGUGCGAAGAGUAAGUAUCGAGAACUAGUUAAAGAGCUAUUGCAGGAGCUAAGGAGAAGAAGGUUCAGUGGCUAAGAGCGUUUGCUGAGAAAUUGAGACAGCUCAAGUUUCAGGGGCACACUUCUAAACCAGUAGUAUAUGGUGGCCAGGAAAGGGAAAACUCAAGGAAACGAAACCUAAGGACAUCUGGAUUUGUAGAGUGGGGUCUUACUCAGGGUUUUAUGGCUGUGGUGAAACACCCUGACCAAAAAGCAAAUUGGGGAAGGAAGGGUUAAUUUGGCUUACAUUUCCAGACCACAGUCCAUCACUAGAGGAAGUCAGGACAGGAACUCAGACAGGGCUGGAACCUGGAGGCGGGAGCUGAUGCAGAGGCCAUAGAGGGGUGCUGCUUACUGUCUUGCUCCUAGCUUGCUCAGUCUGCUUUCUUUUUUUUUUUUCAAGUUUUAUUUAUUAUAUCUAAGUACACUAUAGCAGAUACCCCAGAAGAGGGUGUCAGAUCUUAUUACAGAUGGUUAUGAGCCACCAUGUGGUUGCUGGGAUUUGAACUCAGGACCUUUGGAAGAGCAGUCAGUGCUCUUAACCGCUGAGCCAUCUCUCCAUCCCCCUCAGUCUGCUUUCUUAUAGAACCCAGGACAGCCAGCCCAGGAAUGGAACCACCCACUGUGAGCUGGGCCUUCUUCCAUCGAUCACUAAUUGAAAAAAUGCCUUACAGCUGGAUCUCAUGGAGCCAUUUCCUCAAGGGAGGCUCCUUUCUCCCUGAGGACUCUAACUUGUGUUAAGUUGACACACACAACCAGCCAGUACAGGCGGGAAAAGAGAAGCAGGACAAAGUGGAUCAGCUUGGCAGGUAAAAGAUGCUUGCUGUGCCAGCCAGACAACCCGAGUUGGAUCCUCAGAUCCUACAUAAAAAUGCUAGACAUACAUCUGCAACCUGAGCACCCCUACUGUGGCCUGAAAGCUUGCAGGAUUGUGGGACAGCGGGCUUGGAGUGUGUGGCACAUCAGAAACAAGGGAGAUCCUGCAUUAAAGAGUGGUAGAAGAACCGACUCCUGGAAGUUGUCCUCUGACCACACACACACAUUCAGGGGCACCUGUCUCCACACUCAGACAUCAUGCUCAUACACAUGAGCAUGAUAUACAGUAUCAUACACACACAUACACAUAUAUACAUACAUGAAUAUAUAUAUAUAUAUACACAUACAUACACAUACA
rnacentral:lncRNA from 1 species